AUUUCAUCUCAUUAGGAGUCGUUUUAGUGUGUUUUACAUACUUAGGACGAUUUUGCAUUAGGAUUGCAUGUGCAUUGCAUAUUUGGUUGUUUUCAGGUACUUUGGAUGCUUUUGGAGUUCAAACAGAGAAAAAACAGAACAUGAAGUCAGAAUGCCCAAUGACGCCUUCAGCAAAAGUACUCUAUCGCAGCCUCGGAUCCCUGCCAGGGCAAAUCACUCUAUCGCAACCCCGGAGAAGCAAGCAGCUCAGAUUCACUCAAUCGCGAAACCGGAGGAAUCACCCCAUCAGAACCACUCGAUCACGAGGAAGCCUAUCUGCUCAUUCUGCACUCAACCAGACAAGCUGAGAACAAAGAAGAGAAGAGAAGCCGAAGAAACCACUCGAUCACCACCUCAUGACAUCCACUCGAUGAGGUGGUGAUCCGUUAUUUAUCUCGCUUUUACAUUUUCGCAACUUUGAUAGCCACAGUGUUUCUCCUGCGACUUUGUAUUUUCACUUUCAAGUAUUUGAUAUUCAGUUUUCGUUUAAGUCUUUCAUCAUUUUUGUUAUCAUGAGUAGUGAACUGUAUUUCUGAGGAUGGGAUAGAAUAAUUGUGGUUUACUUGGUCGUUUUAGGUGGUUGAGUUUAGAAUUCUAGAAUCCCUUCUGGAUUAGUUGCGCUUAUUGCUUGUUUCACUGGCUAAUGUGGAGUAUGAGUCCAGACGUCCAACGCUCAGAAGGCGUUUAAUGGGCGUUGGAUCCUAUUAAUUCCAGAGAUAUCUGACUCAACCCCAAGGGAUUGGCUGUAGAGAGGGUAUUGACUUUCACAUGUUGAUUCGAUAAUGCCUGCUUAGUUAGAGAUCGCUAAAGGGAUUUAGGUCAGUGUCUAGCUUUGCUUGAGGAUUUCUAUCACGGGAGUGAAUUAAUCUGUUGUUGAACUUGUUGUCUAGGGAUAGCUUCUGUGAAGUUUUGUCAACCGCCUGAAUAGAUUAAAGAGACCACACUAUUCGAUUACCCCAUCCUUAGGAAUCGUUUAUCCAUUUGAUUGUCUGUUAUCAUUUCUGCUUUGUCAUUCACUUGCCUGCUAUUGCCAUUCCUUCUUUUAGUUUCAUUUCAUUUCUGUUAUUGCAUACUAGGACUGUUAGAACCAACCAACUUUCUGCUUGGCUUGACUUAGAGCUUUCUAAUCAUAUCUCAUAUGUUUGCAUCACACCGGAUUGGAUUAACAUCCUAAAAUACUACAACGACAAGAUAGUGUUUUAGGGAUUAAUUGAGUAAAAUCCUACUAUCAAUUUGGCGUCGUUGCCAAUUUGGUUGUUUGCUAUAUUUGAGAUCAUUAGAAACGUUAAGACCAAGUUCGUU
rnacentral:sRNA from 1 species